AUGAAGGUCUCCGUCGUGUCCCGGAGCGGCCGCGAGGUCGUCAAGGGCGGCAUCGAGCUCAAGGACUCGGCCAAGGUCGCGGAUCUGCAGGAGGCCAUCCACGCCAAGACUAAGAAGUACUAUCCUGCUAGGCAACGGCUCACCCUCCCUGCACAGCCUGGAAAAUCUGGAAAGCCAGUUGUCCUCAAUCAAAAGGCCAGCCUAUCGGAAUACUGCGAGAAGGGUUCCGGGUCCCUGACAGUGGUCUUCAAAGAUUUAGGCCCGCAGGUCUACUACAGCACGCUCUUCUUCUGGGAAUACGUCGGCCCUCUUAUCAUCUACCCCAUCUUCUAUUACCUGCCCGUCUACAAAUACUUUGGAUAUGAGGGGGAGCGGGUCAUCCACCCCGUCCAGACGUACGCCAUGUACUACUUCUGCUUCCACUACUUCAAGAGGAUCAUGGAGACCUUCUUCGUCCACCGCUUCAGCCACGCGACUUCCCCCGUGUCAAACGUCUUCAGGAACUGCGCCUACUACUGGACCUUUGGAGCCUACAUUGCCUACUACUGCAACCACCCUCUGUACACCCCUGUGAGUGACCUGCAGAUGAAGAUCGGGUUCGGCAUCGGGGUCGUGUGCCAGAUCGCAAACUUCUACUGCCACAUCCUGCUGAGGAACCUCAGGAGCCCGACCGGCAGCGGCGGCUACCAGAUCCCUCGGGGCUUCCUGUUCAACAUCGUGACGUGCGCAAACUACACUACCGAGAUCUACCAAUGGCUGGGGUUCAACAUCGCCACGCAGACCGUGGCGGGCUACGUCUUCCUCGCCGUGGCGGCGGCUAUCAUGACCAACUGGGCGCUCGGGAAGCACAGCCGCCUGCGGAAGCUGUUCGACGGGAAGGAUGGGCGGCCCAAGUACCCCCGCCGAUGGGUGAUUCUUCCCCCAUUCCUGUGA
rnacentral:rRNA from 1 species